rnacentral:rRNA from 1 species
CACGUAGGGGGCAAGCGUUGUCCGGAAUUAUUGGGCGUAAAGAGCUCGUAGGCGGCUCGGUAAGUCAGGUGUCAAAUCCUCAGGCUCAACCUGGGGCUCCACCUGAUACUGCUGUGGCUAGAGUUCGGUAGGGGAGACUGGAAUUCCUGGUGUAGCGGUGAAAUGCGCAGAUAUCAGGAGGAACACCGGUGGCGAAGGCAGUUCUCUGGGCCGUAACUGACGCUGAGGAGCGAAAGCGUGGGGAGCGAACAGG